GGCUUAGAAGCAGCCAUCAUUUAAAGAAAGCGUAAUAGCUCACUGGUCGAGUCGGCCUGCGCGGAAGAUGUAACGGGGCUAAACCAUGCACCGAAGCUGCGGCAGCGACGCUGAUGCGUUGUUGGGUAGGGGAGCGUUCUGUAAGCCUGCGAAGGUGUGCUGUGAGGCAUGCUGGAGGUAUCAGAAGUGCGAAUGCUGACAUAAGUAACGAUAAAGCGGGUGAAAAGCCCGCUCGCCGGAAGACCAAGGGUUCCUGUCCAACGUUAAUCGGGGCAGGGUGAGUCGACCCCUAAGGCGAGGCCGAAAGGCGUAGUCGAUGGGAAACAGGUUAAUAUUCCUGUACUUGGUGUUACUGCGAAGGGGGGACGGAGAAGGCUAUGUUGGCCGGGCGACGGUUGUCCCGGUUUAAGCGUGUAGGCUGGUUUUCCAGGCAAAUCCGGAAAAUCAAGGCUGAGGCGUGAUGACGAGGCACUACGGUGCUGAAGCAACAAAUGCCCUGCUUCCAGGAAAAGCCUCUAAGCAUCAGGUAACAUCAAAUCGUACCCCAAACCGACACAGGUGGUCAGGUAGAGAAUACCAAGGCGCUUGAGAGAACUCGGGUGAAGGAACUAGGCAAAAUGGUGCCGUAACUUCGGGAGAAGGCACGCUGAUAUGUAGGUGAAGCGACUUGCUCGUGGAGCUGAAAUCAGUCGAAGAUACCAGCUGGCUGCAACUGUUUAUUAAAAACACAGCACUGUGCAAACACGAAAGUGGACGUAUACGGUGUGACGCCUGCCCGGUGCCGGAAGGUUAAUUGAUGGGGUCAGCGCAAGCGAAGCUCUUGAUCGAAGCCCCGGUAAACGGCGGCCGUAACUAUAACGGUCCUAAGGUAGCGAAAUUCCUUGUCGGGUAAGUUCCGACCUGCACGAAUGGCGUAAUGAUGGCCAGGCUGUCUCCACCCGAGACUCAGUGAAAUUGAACUCGCUGUGAAGAUGCAGUGUACCCGCGGCAAGACGGAAAGACCCCGUGAACCUUUACUAUAGCUUGACACUGAACAUUGAGCCUUGAUGUGUAGGAUAGGUGGGAGGCUUUGAAGUGUGGACGCCAGUCUGCAUGGAGCCGACCUUGAAAUACCACCCUUUAAUGUUUGAUGUUCUAACGUUGACCCGUGAUCCGGGUUGCGGACAGUGUCUGGUGGGUAGUUUGACUGGGGCGGUCUCCUCCUAAAGAGUAACGGAGGAGCACGAAGGUUGGCUAAUCCUGGUCGGACAUCAGGAGGUUAGUGCAAUGGCAUAAGCCAGCUUGACUGCGAGCGUGACGGCGCGAGCAGGUGCGAAAGCAGGUCAUAGUGAUCCGGUGGUUCUGAAUGGAAGGGCCAUCGCUCAACGGAUAAAAGGUACUCCGGGGAUAACAGGCUGAUACCGCCCAAGAGUUCAUAUCGACGGCGGUGUUUGGCACCUCGAUGUCGGCUCAUCACAUCCUGGGGCUGAAGUAGGUCCCAAGGGUAUGGCUGUUCGCCAUUUAAAGUGGUACGCGAGCUGGGUUUAGAACGUCGUGAGACAGUUCGGUCCCUAUCUGCCGUGGGCGCUGGAGAACUGAGGGGGGCUGCUCCUAGUACGAGAGGACCGGAGUGGACGCAUCACUGGUGUUCGGGUUGUCAUGCCAAUGGCACUGCCCGGUAGCUAAAUGCGGAAGAGAUAAGUGCUGAAAGCAUCUAAGCACGAAACUUGCCCCGAGAUGAGUUCUCCCUGACUCCUUGAGAGUCCUGAAGGAACGUUGAAGACGACGACGUUGAUAGGCCGGGUGUGUAAGCGCAGCGAUGCGUUGAGCUAACCGGUACUAAUGAACCGUGAGG
rnacentral:rRNA from 1 species